rnacentral:snoRNA from 1 species
AACCAUGGUGGGGGCAAAGGGCUUGCAGUUCUUUAUAUCUUUCCCAUGCUUGGUAUAAAGUCUCGCUAUCCUUUUGAGUAAAUGAGGAAAUUUGCUUCUUAAGGGU